ensembl:snRNA U6 U6 spliceosomal RNA
UGUUCCCUUUGGCAGGACAUAACACUAAAAUUGGAACAAUACAGAAAAGAUUAGCAUGGUUCCUGCACAAGAAUGAUACGCAAAUUCGUGAGAUAUUCCAUAUUUUU